UCUUCUAGGUCUGCCCACCGCACCUAUGGAGAAUACCUUAUCAGCAUAACCUCUUAAGAAAUCCUGAUACAAGUCUAGGCUUUCCACUGCAAGUAAGAGCAUAAGAAUACUAAUUUGUAUUCAUUUUCCUUCACAGUUCCACAUCUCCCCUGUAGCUCUUCAUGGUAAUGCAGAUCCCUUGCAUUUAUCCUGUUCAAACAUA